rnacentral:rRNA from 1 species
AUGCAGCGACGCCUGCGUGAGGGAUGACGGCCUUCGGGUUGUAAACCUCUUUCAGCAGGGACGAAGCGUAAGUGACGGUACCUGCAGAAGAAGCACCGGCCAACUACGUGCCAGCAGCCGCGGUAAGACGUAGGGUGCGAGCGUUGUCCGGAUUUAUUGGGCGUAAAGAGCUCGUAGGCGGCUUGUCGCGUCGACCGUGAAAACUUGGGCUCAACCCCAAGCUGCGGUCGAUACGGCAGGACUAGAGUUCGGUAGGGGAGACUGAAUUCCUGGUGUAGCGGUGAAAUGCGCAGAUAUCAGAGGAACACCGGUGCGAAGCGGGUCUCUGGCCGAUACUGACGCUGAGGAGCGAAAGCGUGGGGAGCGAACAGAUUAGAUACCCUGGUAGUCCACGCUGUAAACGUUGGCGCUACGGUGUGGGCCUCUCCGGUUUCCUGUCCGCACCGUAACGCAUU